GAAAUGCGAUAAGUAAUGCGAAUUGCAGAAUUUCCGUGAGUCAUCGAAUCUUUGAACGCACAUUGCGCCCUUUGGUAUUCCGAAGGGCAUGCCUGUUCGAGCGUCAUUACAACCCUCAAGCUCUGCUUGGUAUUGGGCUUCGCUGGAGCAAUCCGGCGGGCCUCAAAGCUAUAGGCGGCGGUGCCCCUGCUUUAAGCGUAGUAAAGUUUUUCUUUCGCUUGUAGGUGGAGGCGCUGCUUGCCUGAUAACCCGGGCCCUGCCCACUUUCUCAGGUUGACCUCGGAUCAGGUAGGGAUACCCGCUGAACUUAAGC
rnacentral:misc_RNA from 1 species